CUUCUGAUUCGUGUCCCGUUUCACCCUAUAAUAAUAGCUACAAUAAGCAUCUGAAUUAACUAACCGGAUAAAUUGUUCAUCAUGCGUAAUAACAAUGAGUUGGAAGUUUGCUUGUUUCCUUCUAAAUUCGACAAUCCGAGAUAAAUUCUUAGCCAAACUACAUAUAUUCUCUUCAUCGAGAUUUGUAGUUGGCUCAUCCAGAGCCAAAAUUCCACAGUUUACACCUAGACAUUCUGCCAAAGCCAACCUUAUAAUAAUACACGCUAAAACCUUUUGACCAGCACUGCAGCGGCCUCGCAUAUCUAGCUCGGCAUCACCUUUAACCAUACAGACCUGUUGUUAGUAAGUAACAGUAGAUAUAUGUACGUACUCUAUAAUUGUAAGUCCUAUUCCCUUUACCUUCACUAUCAGAGCGAAUUAAAAUGGUAUCAAUGUCAGUUCCACAGUAGGUUUGUUUCCAAAGUUCGUCUACUAUUCGAUUGAUCUCAUUCAUUUUCAUUGAAUGUAGUUGCAUGAUAGCGACAUCAAGAGCUUUCGCAUACUUGCCCAAAUCCUCAUUUGCUUUACCCGUAGUCUUUGUUUUUAUAAGCUGUCGUCGAAAUCUUUCGUCCGCAUCUUUAAACUCCAUAUUAAGUUCUUCCUUGUCUUUAGUAAUGGAGUUCUCCAAUUGCUUACAUUCUCCUAAUAAGCCUGCGCGCUCAGCGUUGAGUGCCCCGUAUUUUGACUUUAAAAUUUGCAUUCGUUCGCGAAAUGAUUCCCGAUCAUCAUGUGAUUGCUGGGAUAACAAAUAAUUCUUUUGCGUCACGGCUUCUUCUAAUUGUCUCAUUAAAGCGCGAAGGCGUAGAUUAUCAGAUGCGUUCCUUUCCCUCGUGCGCAAAUCCGCUAAGCGCUCCUGUAACUUUCUUAAAUUAUCAUCAGUACUUUCAAUUUUAGAAGCAAUAAUCCUAACUUCUUCUCCAAUAUUACUUUUCUUCUCUUUUAUGCAUUUAAACUUUGUGGAAACGUCAAUCCUCAAUUCAGAGUUCCAUUCAUUAAGUUGAUGCAAGUAUUCAUUAGCUUCAAGGAUUUCUGUCCGACUUUUUUGAGCCAUUUCUUGAAUAUCUGCUUCUAAUUUUUCAUACUCUGACUCUAAUUCGUUUAAAAAGGGUGCCUGAGAACCUUGUUUAGAGCUAACUUCCAAAAGCUUUUUCUUUUGAAGGUCACAGUCUUCGGAGGAUUUGUUAAUAUCUUUUUCGAGUUGUUCCAAUUCAUUGACCUGAAAAUUCAACUUGGUAAGUUUUAGUUUCUGCUCGUUAUUGGCUAAGACAGCAUCGUCUAUUUUCUUUUUAAAAGAAGUUUCCUCCAAUUUAGUUCUUUCUAUUUGUUUCCUUAAGUAUCCCCUCUUCUCGAGUAAUUUUUCUCUCUCAGCAUAAAUUUCGUCUAAAUUAUGAUGAGCAAUAGAAGAAGGAAGUUCAAUACGUAAAACUUCAGUUUCUCUGUCAAUUGUACGAAUUUCUUCCUCUAAAUUAGAAAUGUCUUUAACCAACAAUUGUAAUUUCUCUAAGUUUGCUCUUCUUAAAUACAAGGUAUCCAAUUCUGAUUGAAUUUCGUCCUUACGUAUAUCCAAACCUUGUAGAUCACCUUGCAAAUCUGAAAGUUCAGUUUUCGUCUCUGAAAGCCUUUUAUCAAGCAGUUCAAUCUCAUCGAAAAUCGGUUUAGCUUCAGAAAGAUUUUUAAAAGUUUUAGUAAGGGUUUCAAGGUGACUAUAAACUUCAGCAGAUUUGGAUGGUAUAACGUCAAUCAUGGAGUGACAGUGUUCCACAAAGAGCUUUUCCUCUUCUUUAUCGAGGCUUCUUUGACAUAGUUGACAAGCAUGUUGGUCAACACAUAUUUCUAUAGCUUUCUCAUAAAAUGUAGAUCCAAAUUGCAAUGAGUGAAGGGUUUUCCUAUUUUCUUCUAUUUCACUUUCCAAAGCUUUAAUUUCAGAUAUCAUAGAAGCGAAGGUCCCACUAUAAG
rnacentral:lncRNA from 1 species